UCCUCGUUAGUAUAGUGGUGAGUAUCCCCGCCUGUCACGCGCGAGGCCGGGGUCCGAUUCCACGACGGGGAG
rnacentral:tRNA from 1 species